CACUCCCUCUCAUUCAGGUUUCAAGGUUACUUGCUGGAACAGUUUGCUUAUAUACGACAACAAAUUUGAUAUUGCUUCAGAUUUUCAGCUUCCAGGUCUUCAUGUAUAGGUGAAGCUUUUCAAAUGCAGGGAGCAAACAUCAGUGGAAAAAUGCUUUUGGUUUAGUACUUAAACCAUCCUACCUGAAACACCAGGAGGACAGCACAGAGGACAGAGGUGGCUGCUAAAGAAACAGGAAUCAUUCUGACAAGCUGUGGGAGAUUGUACCAAGGUCCACAUCACCACAAGACUGUCUUUUGGACAGAGG